rnacentral:rRNA from 1 species
AGUUUGAUCCUGGCUCAGAAUCAACGCUGGCGGCGUGCCUCAGACAUGCAAGUCGAACGAUUAAAGCUCUCUUCGGAGAGUGUAUAGAGUGGCGCACGGGUGAGUAACACGUAAGUAAUCUGCCUUCGAGUGGGGAAUAACCCGGGGAAACCCGAGCUAAUACCGCAUAAUGCAGCGGCACCGCAAGGUGACAGUUGUUAAAGGAGCAAUCCGCUUGAAGAGGAGCUUGCGGCAGAUUAGCUAGUUGGUAAGGUAAUGGCUUACCAAGGCUACGAUCUGUAUCCGGUCUUAGAGGACGGUCGGACACACUGACACUGAAUAACGGGUCAGACUCCUACGGGAGGCAGCAGUCGGGAAUUUUGGGCAAUGGGCGAAAGCCUGACCCAGCAACGCCGCGUGAAGGAUGAAGUAUUUCGGUAUGUAAACUUCGAAAGAAUAGGAAGAAUAAAUGACGGUACUAUUUAUAAGGUCCGGCUAACUACGUGCCAGCAGCCGCGGUAAUACGUAGGGACCAAGCGUUGUUCGGAUUUACUGGGCGUAAAGGGCGCGUAGGCGGCGCGGUAAGUCACUUGUGAAAUCUCUGA